AUUGAACGCUGGCGGCAUGCCUUACACAUGCAAGUCGAACGGUAACGGGCCUUCGGGUGCCGACGAGUGGCGCACGGGUGAGUAAUACAUCGGAACGUGCCCGAUCGUGGGGGAUAACGAGGCGAAAGCUUUGCUAAUACCGCAUACGAUCUACGGAUGAAAGCAGGGGACCGCAAGGCCUUGCGCGGACGGAGCGGCCGAUGGCAGAUUAGGUAGUUGGUGGGUUAAAAGCUUACCAAGCCGACGAUCUGUAGCUGGUCUGAGAGGAUGAUCAGCCACACUGGGACUGAGAAACGGCCCAGACUCCUAAGGGAGGCAGCAGUGGGGAAUUUUUGACAAUGGGGGCAAGCCUGAUCCAGCCAUGCCGCGUGGAGGAUGAAGGCCUUCGGGUUGUAAACUGCUUUUGUACGGAAAGAAAAGCCUUCUUUUAAUACAGGAGGGUCAUGACGGUACCGGAAGAAUAAGCACCGGCUAACUACGUG
rnacentral:rRNA from 1 species